UACAGAGGGUGCGAGCGUUAAUCGGAUUUACUGGGCGUAAAGGGCGCGUAGGCGGUAAUAUGAGUGUGAUGUGAAAGCCCCGGGCUCAACCUGGGAAGUGCAUCGCAAACGAUAUAACUAGAGUAGAUGAGAGGGUGGCGGAAUUUCCGGUGUAGCGGUGAAAUGCGUAGAGAUCGGAAGGAACGUCAAUGGCGAAGGCAGCCACCUGGCAUCAUACUGACGCUGAGGCGCGAAAGCGUGGGGAGCGAACAGG
rnacentral:rRNA from 1 species